rnacentral:rRNA from 1 species
GCAAGUCCAAGUACACGUCCUUGAACGACGGAAACUGCGAACGGCUCAUUAAAUCAGUUGCGAUCUACUCGGCGUUCCGCGCCGCCGGAUAACCGUAGUAAUUCUAGGGCUAAUACGUGCGAAGCGCCCGAAGCCGCGAGGCGACGGGCGUUCUCGCCGGAUGUAGGAACCGACCCGGGGACCGCCGGGGCAACCCGGCGCCCCCGAGACGGGGCGAACCACGGUGAAAUGACGGAUCGUCGGCCCCGCGCCGGCGACUCGCCGAAUGAGUUUCUGACCUAUCAACUCGAGACGGCGGGGUAGAGGCCCGCCGCGGUAACGACGGGUAACGGGGAAUCAGGGUUCGAUUCCGGAGAGGGAGCCCGAGAAACGGCUACCACUUCCAAGGAAGGCAGCAGGCGCGCAACUUACCCUAAUCUCGAUUCGAGGAGGU